rnacentral:snoRNA from 1 species
AUCCCAUAAUGAGGACACUUACGAAGAAAUUCCUUAAAUCUUUCCCAUGCCUUGUAUAAGGACUCGUAAUCAAUUAUUAGAAAGUAGUUAUCUCAUUUUGCAACU